AGAGAGAGACAUGCGCGCAUAUCAAUAAGCGGAGGAAAAGAAACUAACAAGGAUUCCCCUAGUAACGGCGAGUGAAGCGGGAAGAGCUCAAAUUUGAAAUCUUAAAGGGUUUCCCUUUACGAAUUGUAGUUUAAAGAAGUGUUUUCUGUUGAGGUUUUGGUAAAAGUUCUUUGGAAUAGGACAUCAUAGAGGGUGAGAAUCCCGUAUUUGACCAUUAUUUCCAGCUUUGUGAUACACUUUCAAAGAGUCGGAUUGUUUGGGAAUGCAGUCCAAAAUGGGUGGUAAAUUUCAUCUAAAGCUAAAUAUUGGCGAGAGACCGAUAGCGAACAAGUACCGUGAGGGAAAGAUGAAAGAACUUUGAAAAGAGAGUUAAACAGUACGUGAAAUUGUCAAAAGGGAAGCGUUUGACACCAGUGUUGUUUUUCUCGAAAAUCAAUUAAAAAAGGCAGGAUUUUGUGUUGUAUUGACUUUAUCAGCUUUCUGCACUCUUUUCUUGUCUUUUUUAAUGCACUUUUCGUUUAACAAGUCAACAUCAAUUUCUUUUGUUGUAAAAGGGUCAUUGGAAGGUGGCUUUCUUUUCGGAGAAAGUGUUUAUAGCCUUUGGCCUCUGCAAUCGGAGAGAUUGAGGUCUGCAGCGUAGAUCCUUCGGGGCUAGAUACAUUUGUGCUAAGUUAUAGCAUUUUAUAGACAACUUGUUGACUAUGAUUAGUCAUUGUAGCUUACUCGCUUAUGUUAUUUUACCUACGCUUAGGAUGUUGAUGUGAUACUGCGAGCA
rnacentral:rRNA from 1 species